rnacentral:lncRNA from 1 species
GACAUGGCAAGUUUGAGAAAAGAUUUCUAACAUUUUUCUUCUAGUAAUCAGAUGUUAAUCUGGCGAGCACGUUGACUUGGCAAGAGCUGGGUCGAGUGGGGUGCUGAUUACAAGAACCGUAGAAUCCUUGUCUGCAGGAUCUAAUACUGAGAGAGCCUCUGCUGUCUGUACAAUAUCCCCACGAGAAGCUUCCUCGAUGGCGUGAGCGGCUAGUUUCUUCAAGGACAAGGUCGCCACUAUAAACAGGUCUCGUGGUUGUUUUGGUGCCUCCACCACGUUCACUUUGCCAGCAUCUUUUGGGGUGAGCCACU